rnacentral:tmRNA from 1 species
GGGGACGAGUGGUUCGACAGGGAAGGAGGUUGCAGGAUAGCAAGCCGAGGCGCCACCGGCCCUCGUAAAAAGGUGGCAAAAAAGUAACUGGCGAAAAAGCAUACGCUCUGGCUGCCUAGAUAGGCAGCCACGUCCCUCCUCUCCUCUCCUCGAUGGGCGAGGAAGGGGCGACGUUUAGUCGAGGUGCUGCAGCCCUGACGCCGAUGAGGGUUGCUUAAGACGUAUCGGAUGGGCCCCGGGGGGCUGGGUUGGCUUAGGACCCCAGGGCGAGAUACAAAGGCCAACUAAGCUUGUAGCAGAUCCUGCGCUGAUUUCUUUUGGACGGGGAGUUCGACUCUCCCCCGUCUCCACCA